rnacentral:tRNA from 1 species
AAUCUUGUAGCAUAAUGGGAAACACAUAUUUUUUUGAAGGAUCAGAUGAGGGUUCAUAUCCUUCUUAGAUUA